rnacentral:tRNA from 1 species
GGGGGCGUAGCUCAGUUGGUUAGAGCGCCUGCCUGUCACGCAGGAGGUCGCGAGUUCGACCCUCGUCGCUCCCGCCA